rnacentral:sRNA from 1 species
AUAGAAACUCAAGCAGGGCAGGAACCAGGAGUCAGGAGCUAAUGCAGAGGCCAUGGGGGAGCGCUGCUUAUUGGCUUCUCCUCCUGGCUUAUACAGCCUGCUCUCUUACAGAGCCCAGUACCAGCAGGCUGGGGAGGGGAUGGCACCGCCCACGGUGGGAUGGACCUUCCCAUAUCAGUCACUAAUUAAGAAAACGUACUACAGGUUGCCCUUACAGGCUGAUCUUAUGGAGGCAUUUUCUCAGUUGAGGUUUUCCGUCUCAGACAGCUUUAGUUUGUCUCAAGUGGACAUAAAACUAACCAGCAUGAAAUGCUCAAAGAAUUAAUACUUUUUAAAGUACCAUUAUAUUAAUAUGUCCACUAACUAACUUCUAUUCCCUAAAGGAAAUCCCAGUGUAUUUCAGGCUAUGAAUCAGUGACUGCAGAAGAAAUGAUCAGAAACUACAUUUACUGUAGACUAUCAUUAAUAUUAAAGUGCUUUCAACAUACAAAACAACAUUGAGAAACAAACUUCACGUACUUUGUCUUUUCAGUUCUGUACCUUAUCGACUGUGUUGUUACUAUUAUUGUUAUUGUUAUUAUUAUUGUUCUUGUUGUUAUUAUUAUUAUUACUUUAUACAAUCUGUAUAAAGGAGCGGUCUGGCUCAUUUGCUUUGUUGUAUAAAGUAAAAAUAGAUAAUGUGUACUUUAACAUGCAUAGAAGCAUUGAAUAGUUGUAAGGAAUCCUACCAAUUCUGAAGUGCUUUGCCCAGUACUAGUGAGGCUUAUAAUAAUAGAAAAUCUUAGUGUGCAUGUGUGUGUGUGUGUGUGUGUGUGUGUGUGUGUGUGUGUGUGUGUGUGAUAGGUAAUUUGUAGGAGUUGGUUCUCUCCCUCACUGUGUGGGUCCCGGUGAUUGAGCUCAGGUUGUCAGGCCUGGUGGCAAGUGUCAUUACUCAUUGAGACAUCCGUCAUCCCGGGACACACCAAGAAACAUCUAAAAACAUUCUCAUCAGGGUUAGGGAUAAUCUUAAUUAUGAUAGAUCUAAUACGUGUUAUAAUAUUUAAAUAAUGUUUGAUUCAUGAGUGUCCAAAGGGGUCAGUCGGGUGUUUAUGAAAAUAAUUCUGCCUUUGAAACUAUGAAAAAUAAUGGGUGUUUCAAGGAAGGGCUUUUCGUUUGUAAGUUAUAAUGCUUGUGUGAAGUAGCUCAUUAAAAUUCAUAGGUAAAUAUUGUAGCUCCACUAAUAAAGAAUUGCUAUUGUGAUUCGGUUGAUGGAGAAUUGCCGUUUGUUGUCUAUUUGCGUUUUGCACGUGUGAAGAAAUGCAGUGCUUUGUGAGAGAGAAAUGAUGGGGAGAGCAGGGAGGGAAGGGGAGGUUGGGAAGCUGGGAGUUGUACUCCUGCAUUCACUGUGGGAUCUGGAAGAGGACGAGGUGGGGAAAAGUUGGGUUGUGGGAUUAAAUGUAUUUUGUACGUGCUCAUUUCUUUUGGUAGGCUACAACAUAUUUGACAGCAUACCCAACACCCACAUCUGCUGGCCCUCUAAUCUUCAAGUGUCCCUAAAAUCAGCCAAGACACAACUGUCAACGCUGCGGUUGGUUGAGCUUAGAUGCAGCAGGGGCAGGGUCUGCAUUAAAUGGCAUGCAUGUGUAGUCUUAGAUUUGCUCAUCGUGAGUGUGCUCGCUCACACACCUACACAUUCAACCAUAAUGAUGUUGAUUUUCCACACAGUGAACGGAAAAUGGCUAAGAACUUUGAUUUUUCAAAGUAGGAGACCCACAGUACUGAAUACUUGAGAAAUAAUUCUUUGUUGACCAUACUUCAAGGACAUGGAGUCAGGUUUUGCUUUACUAAUAAGUUGCUAAGACAAUUCAUAGUUUUACCGUCAACUCUAGUGUUAACGUUCUUUAUUUUGCUAUUUAAACACGUGUGUGUGUGUGUGUGUGUGUGUGUGUGUGUGUGUGUGUGGGUGUGGGUGUGGGUGUGUGUGUAUGCUCAAGUGUGGUGGGGGCAUGGUACAUGUGCAUGUGUGUUUGAAGAUCAGAGGUCAAUGUCAGGUACCCUGCCUCUGGACGUGACCCAUCUUGGUUUCCUUGUUUGGUUUUAUCUAAUACAGAGUUCUCACAGGCCUGCUAUUUGGACAGUCUGACUGGCCAGCAAGCCUGAGGGAGCCUCCUUCCUCUCUCCCCAGUGCUGGGAUUACAAGCAUGCACCACCAUGCUGAGCUUUUUUAUGUGUAUCCUAAGGAUCAAACUCAGGAACUCAUGCUUGUAGAGUGAGCACUUAACUGACUGAGCUGUCUCCAAAUCCCUUUGCACAGUUUAAAAGAAUAAUCAAAUGCAAAUUAUGUUGUUGCCAGAGAACCAAUGGAUAGCAGUGAAUGAAGAUGGCUUAAGUACCCCUCUUGCUUCCCUAGUAACUUGAUAUCAUUGAUUCUAUGGAUGGAAAUUCUUCUUCCCAUGACCUCUGAAAGGUCAAGGUCAAGGGCUAAGAGGCACAGGGCCUUUGGCUUUGAUCGUCUGUGACCCGAGCAGAUAAGACAGACUUGGACUUUGGUUUCUCUCCUACGAGAUGGACAGGCUUGAUAGACACCCUACCACGCCGAGAUCAAAUGAAUGAUCAACCAAAUAAAUAAACAAAAACAACAAAACAAAUAGAUAGAUAGAUAAAUAAACAAAACCCUUAGAUGCAUCAGUGUGCCAUGCACAAAACUCCUUAACAUAAUGAAACAGAUUCUAUCCAUGCACAAGGUAUAUGCUUCAUUUGUUUCCAAAAUUAAAUAGUGAACUUUAUCAUACAAUCAGAAAAAGGAACACUAUGAACUUAUUGCUCCUUGCUCUCUGUUUGUCUGAGAACCGCCCUUUCAUGCACAAAGUCUAUAUUCUCAGAGGAAAAAGCAAGAUGAUAUUAUGGAGACAAUAUAAUGUUUGAGGGAAAUGGCAGAGAGUUUGACCAUGGUCAACAAAUAGCCCUGAGUUUAAACUUAAGAGAUGAUGGAGGACCUAGGUGUCUUCCCAAAGAAAGGGUAAAUGUUUAGAGAGAUGAAUUAUGUUAAUGAUGCUGAUUUUAUCAUCAAGCCAUAUGUACGAGUAUCCAAACCACAUUGUAUGCUUGCCAAUCAGAAAAGGAGAAGGAAGUGAAAUGUGUUCAGUGCCCAAGCCUCUGGGUUCUAGUCAAAUAAUUGGUAGCACCAACCUUAUGAGAAGCCAAUAGUAGUUUCACCAUGUUUAGAAGUGACAGGGUGCCAGCCAGCCACUCUAAGAUACACUUAGAUGGAGGUUCAGUCUUCUACACAGCUCUCCAGUAAGAGUGGACCUAGCAUGCAGUGCCCCUUAUAGCUCUAACCCAAAGACAAGAACACUGGGAACAUGGGAGAAAGCCUGUGUCUGUUCUUUGCUUUGUUUUGCUUCAGUGAAAACACAGUCCUCUGUAGGGUAUGAAACUGCCCAUUGUGGACAUCCAAGGAUCCCCAAGUUAAGCCUGGAUGCUUUGAGGGGUAUUCCAGAGAGCCUGUGUUCCUUCGCCUGGGCCAAGUCUCUCUAUGCUGGGUCUGUGCCCUGAGAGGGUGGAAAACCCAGCCUCCUGUGGUUAGGAUAAUGAGCUGUCUCUUCAGGGGUUCUUAUCAAAGGCCCAUCAAUCUCAUAUGGGCACUCUCUAGAGAGGCUUUCUCUAGUUAGAAGAGGCUUCAUUGUUCUUGCUUUACUGACAAACACCUCAGUUGACUGUAUUUUCUAGAGCAUUUACUCUACACACAUAUCUCUCCAAGCUAGUGCCAAGGACCCCAUGCCUCAAGAAUCAUGGAGUUGAAUCCAGGAGUAUUAAACUCUCUUUUUGUUUGUGUUGCUUUGUUUUGCUUUUGAGGGACUCAGUCUGCAGCCCAGGCUAGUUGCAACAUCUGAUCUCAAAUUUUCUAUGUAGCCCAGGCUAGCCUCAAGCUCAAGAAAAUCCUCCAAUAGUUAAAGUAGCCUUUGGACCACUCCCCCGACCCACAGUCUGUGGAGAGUGAACUCCCGUCCUCCACAGUAUUUGCUAACCCCAAGCCUUGCUCUGCACCUGGAAGGGUAGGGAAUUUGAGGCAAGGAGAGUGGGCGGAUGUGAAAGAUGAAAUGGAAAUUGUGAAGACAUGACAACCUUUUAACAUGAAAAUUAUCUUGAGACAAGUUAAAAGUUGAUCUGCCAUAUGCAAAGAUAUGGAGGUACAUGUGCAGUAAUCAUGUUGUUUGUACGAAAUGCAAGUCUAAGUAGAUGGUGUCCCGCCUUCCAGUGAUAAACUCCAGAUCUGCAUCCUUUCUCAGGGAUGGAAAAAAAGGAGGAGGAGAUGAAAAGUAGAAAAGAAAUACCUCCAUAGAAAGAACAAUGUGCAUCUUUGUGGUAAAUAUAGAAAAGUAAUUGAAAGAGAGAAAAUGGAGGUCAGAGAGACAAAAUAAAAGCAUGGCGCUUCUAAUGUAACAGACACAUACUUGUGACAUAGAAAACAAUUUAACAUUUCGAAGGAGACUAUGAAACUAAAAAUGUUCAUAGUUUUAGUCUCCUAUCUAAAAGUCCAAAUGGUAACACUGGUCUGGAGUGGAGCCUCCUGUUUAUGAUCCCCGAUACACAGGAAGCUUAGGCAGCAGUUUACACAUGCAAGCCCAGCUUGGGCUGCAAAGUGAGAUCCUGUCUGAAGACAAAAAGAGCACUACAAAGAAAGAAGGAAAGAGACUGGAGGUGUGGGCAUUAGCUUACUAGUAGGGCUCUAACGUAGCGGACAUGAGACUCUGGGUUCCAUCUCAAGGGACAUUAGAAAGAAUAACCAGAUGAUAAAGACCUUCUGUGGUAUAUAAAUGACAUAGACCCUAGUAGCUGCCUUGUAGGUUUUCAGUGGGUGGUACUACCAAGCCUGACAGUCAACCAGAAGUCCAAUAGUGGGAAAUCCACAGUGCUUGAGAAUAAACCCUGUUGCUGUCAAAAUUCAGAGACAGGCAAUGGACACUAAUGGAAUAUGGCAAAAUAAACAACAGUGACAACAACUACAAAAGCAUAGAACUUCUUCUCAGUCACUGAAGUUGCUGUUUUCAGUCAAAGCCAGACAAUUCCAAAGGCUAGUGAUUCCUCACGAGCCAUUAAGACCCAGGUGAUAAAUCAAAAGAUGUGUCUGGAAACAAUUGGUCACACACUCUUACCUCUUCAUUCUAGGCUAGUUCUGAAAACCUAUAACGCUACAGGCCCAGAUGAUUUUUAUUAAUUCUCUAGUGUACAUAGGUUUACUCAGACAGCAACACCAUCUUGGAUAUCUCCCACAAGAACUUGUGACCCCUCUGUCUUUCCCUCUCACCAAGUUUUCCCUCCAGUCCAGGCACUGGUGUCACUUUUACAAGUAUUUUGUUAUACAGCUAUAAUACGUAGAUACCACCAUCUCUACAGAAAGCCUAGCUCUUUCUAAGUGCUCAAUAAAUGCAGAAUAUUAACAUAUAUCUGUUUGGACUCAAUGGAUUUUUUUUGAGUAUUUGUUUUGUCAGUUUUGUCCACUGCAACAGGGCAUCAAGAAUACAACCGCUCUGCUACAAAGUCAUAUGUUCUCUGGGAAUCCCCAAAGUAUUGAAAGCAUUAAUGCAAAACUUCUAAUGACUUCACUCUGGUGCUCACCAUUGUGCUUCCUCAUUCCCCAGGUAGCUGGUCCUGCUAUGCAUGGGAUGAGAAGCUACGGUUACUGAUGGCAAUGGUUGUAUAAGAACACAAUGUAUAGAUUCAUCUUCUACACUAACACUAUCAAUAAAUAUAACUCAAGGAUGCUGUCCUUCAACAAGGUAGAAGUGACAACCCAGAAAUACACAACAAGGACUAUAAAACUAUAGAAAGAUUCUGGUGUUUACUUAUAUGAGCAAGAAAAUCUUCAAGACAUCAUUAAAACAACAGCUCCUUAAUCCUAAUAAUUUCUUAUCAGAUAACAAAGGAAUUAAAAACUUGAAAUCUGUUGGAGAAUGGUGCUAAUACUUUGAAUUUGCAAGUCCAGACACUGAAGGUCCUUCUCCCCAAUUGGUUUUUGAUCUAUCAGUAAAGAUGCCAGCAGCUAAUUGCUGGGAAUGGGGUGGCACACUGAGAGUUGAAAUGGUAGGAUUCAGGGAGAAUCAGGAGGACUCAGAAGCAGAAGGGGAUGCAGUAGCAGUAGGAGAUAAAGCCAACCAACCAUGUGAGUUUUCAGGUAAGUAGCCAUUGGCCUGAAGUAGCAGGGGAAGUGCCCAGUCACUGGGCAAAGCAGGGUAGACAAAACUACAUGCUACAGAAAUCCACAUCAGAUGCAGCCAUAUCUCGUUUGAAUGUGGCUCUGUAAUUGAGAUCGUUAGACUUGAAAUAACCAUCACACUAUACACUCUGGUUUAGAAUUGAGUCCUGCUAAUUAUUUAUUCUCUAUAGAGAAGGGCCCCAAACUGAAAUUCUCUUUGUAGGGUUGGAUGUGAUAAUAUACAAAAACCAAGAAUGAAUGCAUCGGUUGCAGUGCACACAUAGAAGUGCCAUGCUUCUCAGUAAGAAAUGCAUCAUUCAGGACUAUGUUCUGGAGACCAAUCCUUUCUAUCUUGGGAGAGCUAAUGGAUGAUGACUGAGGAUAUGACAGAGAA